UGCAGUCGAACGGCAGCACGGGUGCUUGCACCUGGUGGCGAGUGGCGUACGGGUGAGUAAUAUAUCGGAACGUGCCCUAGAGUGGGGGAUAACGUAGCGAAAGUUACGCUAAUACCGCAUACGAUCUACGGAUGAAAGUGGGGGAUCGCAAGACCUCAUGCUCCUGGAGCGGCCGAUAUCUGAUUAGCUAGUUGGUGGGGUAAAAGCCUACCAAGGCGACGAUCAGUAGCUGGUCUGAGAGGACGACCAGCCACACUGGGACUGAGACACGGCCCAGACUCCUACGGGAGGCAGCAGUGGGGAAUUUUGGACAAUGGGGGAAACCCUGAUCCAGCAAUGCCGCGUGUGUGAAGAAGGCCUUCGGGUUGUAAAGCACUUUUGUCAGGAACGAAACGGUGGGGGCUAAUACCUCCUGCUAAUGACGGUACCUGAAGAAUAAGCACCGGCUAACUACGUGCCAGCAGCCGCGGUAAUACGUAGGGUGCGAGCGUUAAUCGGAAUUACUGGGCGUAAAGCGUGCGCAGGCGGUUGUGCAAGACAGAUGUGAAAUCCCCGGGCUCAACCUGNGAAUUGCAUUUGUGACUGCACGGCUAGAGUGUGUCAGAGGGGGGUAGAAUUCCACGUGUAGCAGUGAAAUGCGUAGAUAUGUGGAGGAAUACCGAUGGCGAAGGCAGCCCCCUGGGAUAACACUGACGCUCAUGCACGAAAGC
rnacentral:rRNA from 1 species